rnacentral:lncRNA from 1 species
AUUAUAUUUUUCCAGGAGGAAGAACUCCUGAAGAGAGUGGUAUGGGAAGAAAAUGUGAAAAAGAUUGAACUGCAUAACAGGGAGAAUUCCUUGGGGAAGAAUACCUAUAUUAUGGAAAUAAAUAAUUUUGCUGACCUGACUGAUGAAGAAUUCAAGGACAUGAUAACUGGUAUUACGUUGCCAAUUAACAACACAAUGAAAAGUCUCUGGAAACGUGCACUUGGUAGUCCUUUUCCUAAUUCUUGGUAUUGGCGAGAUGCUUUGCCCAAAUCCAUUGAUUGGAGAAAGGAAGGCUAUGUGACUCGUGUGAGGGAACAGGGAAAGUGUAAGUCUUGUUGGGCUUUUCCUGUAGCUGGUGCCAUAGAAGGACAAAUGUUCAAGAA